rnacentral:lncRNA from 1 species
AAAAAGUAAAAGCAUCCAGUUGUGGACACCGUCACCACACAAAGUUACAAAGACCCAAUGUAGAAUUAACGCUAAAGCAAAGUCACAAAGACCCGCAGGAUAUCAAAAGCCCAAGACAAAGCAUAGAAAGGGGAAGAGGUUGAAAUACAAAGAUUUUAAAGCAUGAAGAGGAAAAGUAAAGUGCAUGGAGCCAAGAAUUCGAAAUGGUGGCAAAGAUUUGGUGAGAAAGCAAAGAGGAAAAGCAGAAAGUCGUAAACGGUGUAAAGAACAAGAUGAAGCUCAAGCUGGUUAAGGUAACAAGCUUCAUUCCUUUUGUAUCCUCCCCAAGAACCUCAAGCAAUUUGACAAGAUAGAAAAAUUAUCGGUUUGACAUGUUGGACCAAAGUAACUGUUUCCCUGCUAUCAUGCUCUCUCACUCAUGUAAUUGGCCAACAAAAACCCCUGGGGCUUUGUGUUCUGUUUUUCCGCAAAAAAAAAGUAUGUAUCUAAGAAAUGUAUUUGGAGAAAAUGCACAAAAUCCUUAACCGCAGUUAGCACAUUCGAAGACAUCCGCGAUGCCGAAGACGCCCUGCACAGCCUCGACAGGAAAUGGGUGUGUGGUCGACAGAUCGAAAUCCAGUUCGCACAGGGCGAUAGGAAGACUCCGGGACAGAUGAAGUCCAAGGAGAGGAGCUCGCCAGGCCGCUCCACGUCGCGGUACGACGACGAGUCCGAUCACGGCGGCAGUCGUCGCCGGCGGUCGCGGAGCCGCAGCUACGAGCGCUACCGGUCCCGGAGCCCCUCCCACGAAUGGCGCCCCCGCCGCCCAGAAAGCCCCCGGGAUUCUCGCGGACGAAUGUACGCAGCGCGGAGGAGCCGAAGCAGGGAAGACGAGAGGUACAAGACGCGGCCCAGGAGGGAGUCCAGGGGCCGCUCCCGCUCCAAGUCCCCCACCCCCAGAGACGAGGGCUACCAGGGCGCCCCGUCCCGCGACCCACGGGACCCACGGGACCCGCGGGACAGCCGCGACCUGAGGGACGUGGGCCGGCGGUCACGCACUCCGUCCCGCUCCGUCUCCCGGUCGCGCUCCCGAUCCAGGUCGUGGGCCGGUCGCAAAUCGGGGGGACACUAGUUCCCCCCACCCCCCCCCCCCCCCCCCACCCCCAGAUCCUUGCGGUCCUUCGGGACGUAGAGGGAAGGUUAACGUCUUGGAAUGUGUGUCACACAAUCUUUUCUUUGUCUUUUUCGUUAAAAGGGAUUCUCUUGUCACGCACCGAACCAGUACCGGGGCGACAUGCUUGUUGGCGACAUUUCUGGUGUUGUUUUUUUUUCGGGCCCGUGGGUUUUCUCAAAUUGAGCACUUGUCUUUUUCUCCCCUGGCCAGAAAUCUGUCGGUCUUGAGGGGGUUUCUCGAGUAUGAUGUAUUGGUAGUGUUUUGUAAAUUAAUUAACCUGUUUGAAUGUCCCUCCCUUUGCCUUUUUGUUAUAUGCAGGUUGGUUCCAAAGUGCUAUACAAUAUAACCUUUAAUGUGUGGUUCUUGCAGUAGCAGUUGAGUUUGUGUUUGUCUAUAAAUAUGAAACCAACAAUACUGGUUAAAAAGUUAAACUUUUUUUGUAAGAACGUGUCAUUUUAUAUACAGUUUGUUUCUGUUAAAAACAACGUCUUGUUAUGCGUUUUCUUUUUCUUUAAUCAGAAAUAAAGAAGUCAUGACAAAUUUGUUUACUAGACUGGCUUUCUUCCACUUCAAGAGAGGGGUUACACAUUUUGGUUAACAUUCUGCUCUCCCAGAACCUCGAUCCGUUUCAUGUUUAUUAGGAACAAACAAAACUACCCCAUUAUUUUAAAGCAGAUUUGCUCACAAAAGUCAUGGACUAUUUUGACAUCCCAAAUAAAAAUAAAUUCACAUUAAAAAGGUUUAUAGAAUAUAGAUUAUUGAUCAUGGCAGUGCCUGUAUAGCCUGAUCCGUUCCUCCCAGCCGUAAGGGAGUGAUGAACUGGGGUUAAAGCUGUGAUAAAUAUCCUUGAAUAGGGAAAAUCACUAGCUUUCAGAUCCCUAUAUUCAUAGGCGUGAUGUAUAGCGAUUGAUUUGAACGUUAAUGAAACACCACUGCCAGCCGCUGAGAAGUGUAAAUUAAUAAUGGAUUUAUCACUGCUUUGCAAAAAAUUUAAAAACGUAAAUCAAAGCGGACUGUCAAGGAAUGAAAUGUGAUGUUUCUGUUAUCUAAUAUUUGCGCAUUAUCGCCUGGAAAUUUGUGAUAUUGCAAAAUUGCCAUUAAAUUAAGGACAGAAUAUGUAGGUGCUACCAGAUAGCAUUCCAUACAGUGAAUCUUAAUUUUUCUGGUUUGACUUGCCGUCCUUCAUUUUGAUCAAAUUCUUGAUGCUGUAAUACAGCAUGUUGUUUUGACCCUUGUGCAUAGGGGUUUCUCCAAGACAAAGAAUAAAGCCGGAUGUGUGGAACAAAGGAUUACAUAAGAGACAAACUCUUUCCUCUGCCCAUCUCCUAUGUGCCCCAUAAUUUGCCUUUAUUGGAAUUACACUGUUUGAAAAAAUGAUUGAUUUGUGUUGCCUGUCACGGUGACCUUGUCUGCCAUUGAGGAUUUCCAUGUGGAACGAGCUGAACGCAUCUACGCUAUACGACUGUACUUAUUUCAUUCAAUAAUCACUCGAAAAAUCGACUGUAUCCCAUAAACAACUACGAAUGAGUGACACCUAUGUUAACCCAACAAUGACGCCCUGGUGAAUAGGGUCUACACAGCUGGAUGGGUUUCCAUCACUUCAGGGAAACCCAGGGAUAUGAUGCGUGCUCUGGUACGGAGUCAGGCUUCACUCCCCAAUGUACGCGACCCUAACCUCUACCUGCUCCUUAAUGACAUGUAUAUACGAAAGGACUUAAAGCUGCUUUGGAUCUAAACGUCUGCUAAAUGACUAGAUGGUACACUAGAUGGUUCCUCCACACAAUGAGUUCAGGGGUCACAGGGGUCGUGUGGUGACCCCUGGUUCUGCCGUCCAGCCCCGGACCCGGCUGGGUCUGUAUGGAGGGCAUAGACAACAAACGAUUUCAUAUUUGGUAGUACAUUCUGUUGUCUGGGAUGAACCACCCACGCCAUGAACCCCCUGAUAUCCAGUUCACCCCCCUGGAGGGCGAAUGGAAAAAGAACACAGCAUUGAUUUAGCGAGUUGGCUUCUAUGAGUUAACUGAAGCGUUGCAAUGGACCAGGGAUCAUUCGGUUCUCCGCUCCAGCACGGACGGAACCUGGAACCAACUGAUAAUUUUAUAUUUCAGAGUUCAUAAUCUUUUCUAAAUCGUUUUUUCAUCAAAUUACAGCGAUGGAUUAAAUAGGUGUGAGGGCUUUGGUUGUCAUGGGAGUACAGCCAGAAGGGCCUUUUAUUCUCAUAUCCAAAAUGAGCGGUACGUUUACCUAUUUUAAACUUUCAUUGAUGUUUCUUGGUAAGCAACUGAAUGCAUUUUGUCAAUUAGAAAUGGGUUAAAGUUAGUUGACUGUCUUCAGAGAAGGUAUGUUUUUGUUAUUGAAAUUCUUAUCUUUUUUGAAAUUGCUAUCUCAUAUCACUUUUGUUGAUGUAGGGGGAAUCAUUGAAAAAAAUGUCAUCAUUAUUGUAUUCCUAUCUGUGCCAUUGGGGAUAGACGGCCUAAUAACCUAAA